GUUUGUUCACAGGGGGUGGAGUGUGUAGGGGAUGUCCUGAUAUGUGUGUAAGGAAUGCAUUGCGUGAAAUUGUGUUUGUAUGUGUAAGGACUGCAAGGUGUGUUUCUGUGUAUGUAUGGGAUGCAUUGAAUGUGUGUAAGGGGUGCAUUGAGUGUGUGUAAUGAAUGCAUUGUGUGUUUCUGUGUGUGUAAGGGAUGCAUUGUGUGUAAC